rnacentral:snoRNA from 1 species
ACGACCUUACUUGAACAGGAUCUGUUCUAUAGGCUCGUACCGCUGCAUCCUUUACCAAUAAGGAGGCAAGCACUUCAGUCUGGUUGAUGAACUCUGACCUCUGUGCAGGGUGGCCUAGAGGUUGUCUGACAGACU